CAAGCGUUGUUCGGAUUUACUGGGCGUAAAGGGCGCGUAGGCGGCCACCGCAAGUCGACUGUGAAAUCUCCGGGCUUAACCCGGAAAGGUCAGCCGAUACUGCGGGGCUAGAGUGCAGAAGGGGCAACUGGAAUUCUCGGUGUAGCGGUGAAAUGCGUAGAUAUCGAGAGGAACACCUGCGGCGAAGGCGGGUUGCUGGGCGGACACUGACGCUGAGGCGCGAAAGCUAGGGGAGCGAACGGG
rnacentral:rRNA from 1 species